rnacentral:rRNA from 1 species
GACGAACGCUGGCGGCGUGCCUAAUACAUGCAAGUCGUGCGAAUCAAUAGGAGCUUGCUCCUGUUGGUUAGCGGCGGACGGGUGAGUAACACGUGGGCAACCUGCCUGUAAGACUGGGAUAACUUCGGGAAACCGGAGCUAAUACCGGAUAAUCCUUUUCCACUCAUGUGGGAAAGCUGAAAGUCGGUUUCGGCUGACACUUGCAGAUGGGCCCGCGGCGCAUUGGCUAGUUGGUGGGGUAACGGCUCACCCAGGCGACGAUGCGUAGCCGACCUGAGAGGGUGAUCGGCCACACUGGGACUGAGACAUGGCCCAGACUCCUACGGGAGGCAGCAGUAGGGAAUCUUCCGCAAUGGACGAAAGUCUGACGGAGCAACGCCGCGUGAGCGAUGAAGGCCUUCGGGUCGUAAAGCUCUGUUGUUAGGGAAGAACAAGUAUCGGAGUAACUGCCGGUACCUUGACGGUACCUAACCAGAAAGCCACGGCUAACUACGUGCCAGCCGCCGCCGUAAGAC